rnacentral:rRNA from 1 species
UGGCGAACGGGUGAGUAACGCGUGAGGAACCUGCCUCAAAGAGGGGGACAACAGUUGGAAACGACUGCUAAUACCGCAUAAGCCCACGGGUCGGCAUCGACCUGAGGGAAAAGGAGCAAUCCGCUUUGAGAUGGCCUCGCGCCCGAUUAGCUAGUUGGUGAGGUAACGGCCCACCAAGGCGACGAUCGGUAGCCGGACUGAGAGGUUGAACGGCCACAUUGGGACUGAGACACGGCCCAG